rnacentral:rRNA from 1 species
AUUGAACGCUGGCGGCAGGCCUAACACAUGCAAGUCGAACGUGUGGCGGACGUGUGAGUAAUGUCUGGGACACUGCCUGAUGGCGGGGGAUAACUACUGGAACCUGUAGCUAAUCCCCCAUACCUUCGGAUGUGCCCAGAUGGGAUUUGCUAGUGGGUGGGGUAAAGGCUAACCUAGGCGACGAUCCGUAGCUGGUCUGAGAGGAUGACCAGCCACACGGGAACUGAGACAGGGGCCAGACGCCGAGGGGAGGCAGAAGUGGGGAAUAUUGCACAAUGGGCGCAAGCCUGAUGAAGCCAUGCCGGGUGUAUGAAGAAGGCGUUCGGGUGGUAAAGUACGUUCAGCGGGGAGGCGUUACCCGCAGAAGAAGCACCGGCUAACUCCGUGCCAGCAGCCGCGGUAAUAC